CUGGCGACCUGGGUUCUGGAGAAGCCUCCGGCCGCUCCUCUCCCGGAUGGCGGUCUCCGGCGGAAAGCGGUUCAGAAGUUUUAAGGCCCGUGUCGGCCGUGGUUGUGUUGAGAACUGCGGCAGGACCAGAGGAAAGUUAUCUUUUGUUCAUCCCUUGCUCUCCCGCUGCGCCUCGCGGACCUUCCUCGAGGAUGAAAAGAGAAAGAAAAGGAACUACUUGUAACCAAAUCUCUGUGCACGUCUCUACUUCUUUCCUCACAAUAAAAUUCUGGAGCUGGUGUUCAGAGGGGCACUGGUUGAAGGGCUUUGCCUCAUGCUGUCAGCAGACCUGCAGAAAGGUGGCACUGCCUUAUACCGCGGGCAAGAUGGUCCUUUUCUCCACGCCCUGCCAGCACCAUCUUCAUCAUUUUUUGUCAUCUUUGUUAAUUUGAUAGAACAGUGGUUUUGUAAUAUUGUUUCAAGUUAUAUUUCUUUAAUAACUAGCAAAUAAAACCUGUUUUUAGGCAUCACUUAUGUGAAUUGCCUACUCCUAUCUUGCCCCUUUAGA